rnacentral:rRNA from 1 species
GACGAACGCUGGCGGCGUGCCUAACACAUGCAAGUCGAGCGGAGUCGAUCGACGGAAGCCUUCGGGCGGAAGAUGGUUGACUUAGCGGCGGAUGGGUGAGUAACGCGUGGGCAACCUGCCUCGAAGACCGGGAUAACAGCCCGAAAGGGCUGCUAAUACCGGAUGUGGUCAAGGAUCCGCAUGGAUUUUUGAUUAAAGGGGAAACCCGUUUCGAGAUGGGCCCGCGUCCUAUCAGCUAGUUGGUGAGGUAAAAGCUCACCAAGGCGACGACGGGUAGCCGGCCUGAGAGGGUGACCGGCCACACUGGAACUGAGACACGGUCCAGACUCCUACGGGGGGCAGCAGUGGGGAAUCUUCCACAAUGGGCGAAAGCCUGAUGGAGCGACGCCGCGUGAGCGAAGAAGGCCUCGGUUGUAAGCUCUGUCUGGAGGGACGAAGGAAGUGACGGUACCUCCGGAGGAAGCCACGGCUAACUACGUGCCAGCAGCCGCGGUAAAGUGUGUGUA